CCUACGGGCGGCUGCAGUGGGGAAUAUUGGACAAUGGGGGCAUCCCUGAUCCAGCCAUGCCGCGUGUGUGAAGAAGGCCCUCGGGUUGUAAAGCACUUUCAGUGAGGAAGAACGCCUGGUGGUUAAUACCCAUCAGGAAAGACAUCACUCACAGAAGAAGCACCGGCUAACUCCGUGCCAGCAGCCGCGGUAAUACGGAGGGUGCGAGCGUUAAUCGGAAUUACUGGGCGUAAAGCGCGCGUAGGUGGCUUGAUAAGCCGGUUGUGAAAGCCCCGGGCUCAACCUGGGAACGGCAUCCGGAACUGUCAAGCUAGAGUGCAGGAGAGGAAGGUAGAAUUCCCGGUGUAGCGGUGAAAUGCGUAGAGAUCGGGAGGAAUACCAGUGGCGAAGGCGGCCUUCUGGACUGACACUGACACUGAGGUGCGAAAGCGUGGGUAGCAAACAGGAUUAGAUACCCGGGUAGUC
rnacentral:rRNA from 1 species